AACGUAGGUUCCGAGCGUUAUCCGGAUUUACUGGGCGUAAAGCGCGUUCAGGCGGUUUGGCAAGUCGGGCAUGAAAUCUCUCGGCUCAACCGGGAGAGGUUGUCCGAUACUGCUGGACUUGAGGGCAGUAGAGGGUGGUGGAAUUCCGGGUGUAGUGGUGGAAUGCGUAGAGAUCGGGAGGAACACCAGUGGCGAAGGCGACUGCCUGGACCGUGGCUGACGCUGAGGCGCGAAAGCGUGGGGAGCGAUCCGG
rnacentral:rRNA from 1 species